AAUUCUCAACCUUAUCAAUUUUCACAAGUUGGUAAUGGCUUGGACUUGGGGGUUUUUUGCUGGCUUCGUCAAGAGGUCUGCUCCCCUUAAAUGUAUUAGCCGGUCCCCUGUGGAGUCGUCUAUUGGUGUGAUAAUUAUCUACGCCGUGGGCCUUCACUUUAAAUGGGUUGUACUGCUUCUAACCGUCCGUUAAGUCGGACAAAUAAUGACA
rnacentral:misc_RNA from 1 species